rnacentral:rRNA from 1 species
CGAGACCGGUUUCGGCCGGGGAUUAGUGGCGAACGGGUGAGUAACACGUGGGCAAUCUGCCCUGCACUCUGGGACAAGCCCUGGAAACGGGGUCUAAUACCGGAUAUGACACGCUCCCGCAUGGGAUGCGUGUGGAAAGCUCCGGCGGUGCAGGAUGAGCCCGCGGCCUAUCAGCUUGUUGGUGGGGUGAUGGCCUACCAAGGCGACGACGGGUAGCCGGCCUGAGAGGGCGACCGGCCACACUGGGACUGAGACACGGCCCAGACUCCUACGGGAGGCAGCAGUGGGGAAUAUUGCACAAUGGGCGAAAGCCUGAUGCAGCGACGCCGCGUGAGGGAUGACGGCCUUCGGGUUGUAAACCUCUUUCAGCAGGGAAGAAGCGAGAGUGACGGUACCUGCAGAAGAAGCGCCGGCUAACUACGUGCCAGCAGCCGCGGUAAUACGUAGGGCGCAAGCGUUGUCCGGAAUUAUUGGGCGUAAAGAGCUCGUAGGCGGCUUGUCGCGUCGGAUGUGAAAGCCCGGGGCUUAACCCCGGGUCUGCAUUCGAUACGGGCAGGCUAGAGUUCGGUAGGGGAGAUCGGAAUUCCUGGUGUAGCGGUGAAAUGCGCAGAUAUCAGGAGGAACACCGGUGGCGAAGGCGGAUCUCUGGGCCGACACUGACGCUGAGGAGCGAAAGCGUGGGGAGCGAACAGGAUUAGAUACCCUGGUAGUCCACGCCGUAAACGUUGGGAACUAGGUGUGGGCGACAUUCCACGUCGUCCGCGCCGCAGCUAACGCAUUAAGUUCCCCGCCUGGGGAGUACGGCCGCAAGGCUAAAACUCAAAGGAAUUGACGGGGGCCCGCACAAGCGGCGGAGCAUGUGGCUUAAUUCGACGCAACGCGAAGAACCUUACCAAGGCUUGACAUACACCGGAAACCUCUGGAGACAGGGGCCCCCCUUGUGGUCGGUGUACAGGUGGUGCAUGGGCUGUCGUCAGCUCGUGUCGUGAGAUGUUGGGUUAAGUCCCCGCAACGAGCGCAACCCA